UGCGUGUGUGUUUUUUUAUAUUUGCCAAACACGAGGUUGUCCUUGUGAAUUUCCCUGCACAAUAGCUGACACCCGGGAGAGGGUGCGCGGGCCCCGGCGCCGCUGGGACAGAGACUGGCUUUCCAACCAGAGGAGAGAAUGGAUAGUGAAAUUUUUUUCUUGUCAGUUAACUUCAAAAUAAAACAAAACUGUUUGACCCGUGGAGUUUAUUCAGACGGAAAGCCAGGUUGCCUGACUCGUCCAGUUUGCAAUUUUCCCAGCGCAUCGGCUUUGGCCCCGGAGACAACACCCCCAGGGAGAGGCACAUUUUCAAAGCCACCCUUCACCGGCCCCAGGCCCGGGGCUCUGAUCUCCCUGAGCGCCUCAGUUGGUCCCGGAAAGCGAGGAGAAGAGGGGGUGCAGAGGAAGAAGUGCACCCAAAGAGCUGGCGAAGGCCCCCAUAGUGUUCCAGAGACGUCAGGUGGUGACGGCGGAAGCACUGAAAAUGCGCAGCCUAGAGGUCGCCCCAACCGCGUGCCCUGGCUCUCCGCCCCACUGCCCGCAGCCUGUCACCGGGCUCCGGAACGCAGCGCCCACGCCGGGCUGUCGCGAUCGGGACCCGGCCCCGCGGCCCCGCAGCCCCGGGCCGACCCCGCGCGCCGCCGGCGGCCGC
rnacentral:lncRNA from 1 species